UACGAAGGGGGCUAGCGUUGCUCGGAAUCACUGGGCAUAAAGCGCACGUAGGCGGACUCUUAAGUCGGUGGUGAAAUCCUGGAGCUCAACUCCAGAACUGCCUUCGAUACUGGAUGGCUUGAGUUCGGGAGAGGGAUGCGGAAUUCCAGGUGUAGCGGUGAAAUGCGUAGAUAUCUGGAGGAACACCGGUGGCGAAGGCGGCAUCCUGGACCGACACUGACGCUGAGGAGCGAAAGCCAGGGGAGCAAACGGG
rnacentral:rRNA from 1 species